GACAGAGGAUGCAAGCGUUAUCCGGAAUGAUUGGGCGUCAAGCGUCUGUAGGUGGCUUUUUAAGUCUGCCGUCAAAUCCCAGGGCUUAACCCUGGACAGGCGGUGGAAACUACCAAGCUGGAGUACGGUAGGGGCAGGGGGAAUUUCCGGUGGAGCGGUGAAAUGCGUAGAGAUCGGAAAGAACACCAACGGCGAAAGCACUCUGCUGGGCCGUACCUGACACUGAUGCGCGACAGCAUGGGGAGCAAACAGG
rnacentral:rRNA from 1 species